CUGUAAACCAGUCAUUGUCAACGACAAAGUUGCCAUCUUUAAGUUCAAAAAUUCAGAAUGUGGAGUUCAUGCUUAUGAAGUUGGUGAGACGAUGAUCUACCUGGCUGAAGUGCAGACUGUCGUCCAGUCUCUGACCCUCCAGUAUGGCGUAAUUGCAACACGUGAUCCGCUCAGGUUCAUGGUUGAGUGUCGCUAUAGCAAAGCAGGCGUUGCUCCGCAGUCACUAACCAGCGUUGGCUACAUGGUGAAGACCCCGAGUUCCACCUUGCCGUCAGCGGUCCUCUCUAAUGGCUUAUAUGCUGUUGACUUGAGAAUUGCUAAAGGUUGGGUAUUUAUGCCUUAUUUUCUAAAGCAAUUGCAAUAAGUAC